UAUAAGCUUCAGUUAGAUUCAUAACUGCUUUCCAAAUCUGAUUUUACUUUGUUAUGCUCUUUCACAAGUUCUGGCAUACAGGUUUUAUUAGCCUCAUGCAGUGAGUGGAGUGCCAGUCCUCUUUUUCUAGUGUCUGAGACAGUAUAUAUAAAAUAGACAUUAUUUAAAAUCAGAGAGUUUACCUGUUUGGGCUGAAUGUCUUUUCUUGAACAUAGGAAAGUUGGUGAUAAAUAGACAAUGAUAAAUUAAACUUAUUAGAAGUUAUUUAUUAUAUUCUAUUUCAUUUUGAGUCGAUUUUGAUGAUUUACAUUCUUCUAAAAAUUUUUCUCAUUAUUUAUAAGUCUUUAUCUUAAGGCUGAUCUUCAUCUUACGAUUUUAUAAAUCAGGGUAGAACAAAGAGAAAAUCUCAAAAAUACACCUCCCAUGUUAACAGUAGUAUGAGAAUGUGCACCACUAAUAGGAGCAAUGGGAUUUAGCAAGCUGAAAACGUAAGAUGGGAUUUUUAGUUGGUGAUGCCAUCCAAAAAAAAAAUAAAAAUUAUUUCCCAGCUCUCAUUGCAAAAGGAUGUGUAGUCAUGUGACCAGGUUCUGGAGAUUAGCAAGUAAGUGGAAGUGGUAUGUUUACUUGUUAAAAGGAAGAGCCACGUUCUUUUUUCCCUUUCCUUGACCGUGCCGGCUAGAAAGUGAAUGUGAUGGCUGGGGCUUCUUUCUUGGAUCAUUAAGUGAGAAUGGAUCAUGCAUAGAGGAACCAAAAGGUGGAAGGGACCCAAUUUCCUAAGUACUUUAUGUAACAGAUCCACUAUCUAGUCUUGGACACCCUACGUCUGGAUUUUAACAUGAGAGAAAAAUCUUACACCCUUUUGAUGGCUCUGCUAUUGAGAGUUUUUAAAGUACUUAGGCGCUUAUAUAUGUUAUACAGAAAAUAUUGAUAGAAAACCAAGAAAACUUAUAUGAAUUCCAGCUGCCAGUGGUAGGAAGGAUUCUUCCUGCCUGAGCUCACAGACACAAAUCCCAGAGGCUGUACAUGUCCCAGCAAAGAAGAUAUUGAAAAUGUGUGAAAAUGGGAAAAUGGACAUUCUGAACUCUUCUAAAGCAACUGAUAGGUGAUUUUACUGAUGCUGAUAACAUUAGAGAGUAGGAUAGUUUAUGGUAAAAUAACAUAUUUUUAAAUAUUAGAAUACACGUGUACACAUACAUACGUACAUAGAUGUAAUAUACUCACAUAUUAUAACCUUGUUCAAUAAAUUUGACAUCUUCCCACAGACACUGAAGAGAUAUUUAACACAUACUAUUGAACACUGUAGAAAGCUAGAUGAAAUGAGUUCAGAAAAACUUUGUACCAAUAGACCUGGUACCUAUACUUUGUCAUGUUAACAACGAAGUAUUAUAUGUUAUAGGCCCAUUGUUCACCCCUUAGAGCACCUAAAAGGAGUAGUUUUCAUUGCCUUACACCUCAUCAAGCCAACUAAGAAGAAAGGUGGCUGGGUCAGAUGGCUCAGGCCUAUAAUCCCAGAACUUUUGGAGGCCGAGGUGGAAGGAUCGCUUGAGCCCAGGACUUUG
rnacentral:lncRNA from 1 species